AGUUAAGGUUUUCCUUUCCUCACCGGCAAACACUGUGGAAAAACAGAGAAAGUGAUACCACUAGGGUUUAUUGAAACUAGACACUUUAGGAUAGUGGGAAAGUUUGACAAAAUUUGUUGCUUAAUGUGUUUGGUUUAUGAGUUGGGCUAUAUGAGGUAAUUAGGGUACUGUUAGUGUGUAAAAGACAAAAGUAAGAAUUCAAAAUUCUAAUAUCUGUUUCCAUGCUUGUGUUAAUCCUGUGCUUAUUCCCUGUUACGCUUGUUAUGGAAUCUGCGUAUCCUUUAAUGCAGGUAACAUUUGUGCAUAUUUUAUAGUAUGCAUAGAGUUUGAUCUGAUGAUUUGCUGCCAUUUAACUUAAUUCAGUUUGGAAAGGCCAGCAGAGAACAUUGGAAGUAGUAUUGUGCUUGUUGUCCCCUACCAACUAUCAUGCAUUUUCCCCACUGUUUUCCGGCCAGAACAAAUACAUCGAUCCUUCAUUUUCCCACACCGGUGCCAGCUGCAGUGUCAGAGAAACACCCAUCUCUCAAGAAGAAAAAGUGCAUCUCGCAGGCUAGGGGUUCGCCAUGCAACAACAUCGGGACGGUGCUAUCCUGAAAGCUUUGGGGGAAGAUCUCCCCUCCUACCAGCUUUGGGAUGCAGCAAGCCAGCGCUCUUGGCAGAGGCUGGGUGGAGGAAGCAGCGAGUCCUGGCUAGCCCACUCCUGUCAUCUCCUGCCUGCAAACAGCUCCUCAGCUGUCCUUUCCCCUCAGAAGAUUUCUCGUGGUUUGCAAAGAUGUGAAAAUGCUGGUAUACUGCUCAUGCAGGCAGCAGACAACCUUUCUUGUUUUACAGUUCACACUCAAAGUAGCUCUUGGAGCGGGAACAAGUCACUACAGCAUAAGGGAGGGUAUGAGCUGGCAGGGCAUCAGCUGUGCCAGGGAAACUCUGCACGCUCUUGCCUGGUGGCUCCCUGCAAAAAAUGGGAGGCAGCUUGUCGCCCCAGGGAAUGGAGUGCUUUUCUGUCUUUGUGUGUCAUGAUGUGGGGUCUGGAAAGCUGCCUGGAAGCUGAUCUGGCCAUGAUCGCAGUAUGAAGCCUCACAAUCAGUCUCUGAUGUUCCUUACUGUCCUUUUCCUAUAGCUUGCUGUGUUGCCGUCAUGCUGAUUUUACAAAAAUGGUGUUGGUGUUUCAUUGUAGAAAUUACCAGCUAUCAGGGUCAAUCUAGAUUGUUGUCUCAAAUUGAUACUCCAGUGCUUCAAUUUAACCAGCAUCUAUUGCUAAAGGUUUUUUCUUUUUUAAAAAGAAAAACAAAUAUUUAGAUGCGGGUACUCAGUCACUUGCAGAAUAAUUUAUCUGAUAAAGAUAUAUUAUAUGUCCUGCUUCCUCACAAGGAAGGGUAUUAUGACUCGCUAAAAUUUGCCAUGUGCCUACUCCCAGUGUAGGAAACACAGCUUCGGAAAGCAAUAAUACAACAACUUUUCUUAUCCAUCUCGUUAAUGGCCCUGUCUUUAUUCAUAUGUCUGAGAUAACGGGAUAAAAGAUUUCCCUUGACUCUUUCAACAUUGUAAACAAUGUACUUGGAAAGAAAAUUGUGCACACUUUUAUCCUGCUGGUACCUGGAGGAGCUUCUACUUUUUCCUGCCAUUACUAAUUCAUGGGUGAUUUUUUUUUUUGACAAGCAUAUAAUAAUGCUUAACCAUAUCCAUAGUUCCUGAGAUGGAAACUGUAAUUAAUGUCAGUGAUAAUAAGCCAUUUUAAGACUGCUUUCAUGUUUUUGUCCCUGUAGCUCACCACUAGAAAUGAGCACUGAUCUCACAGCAUUGAGGCCAGGUUUAAAAUCUGACAUCCUAGUACUUUUUGCUCUGAUUUGGCCUGCUGGUUAAUGCUACUGGUGCUGGUUCAGUGUUAGACGCUGGAAAAUGAAGGAUUCACAUAUACUCACUGCUGUUAAUAAGCUUUCAGUGGGAUGUCAGCUAUGGAAGGAGUGGAAGGCUUGGUCUGGGAGCAAUUAUUACCCUGCUGGACCAGGAGAGCAUAUGUGUGACUGCUGGAGAGAAGUUUACACUCGCGGGGCCAUAUGAGGAUCUCACUCCAGUGUAAAUCAUGUCUGCUUUGAAGUCAAGGAAAUUCCAUUAGCAGGGAAGAAGUGUGAGAUCAGGAUCAAACACCAAAGAGUUGUGAUCUUCCUAAUGCUAAGAGGCAAGUGUAGGAAUUUCAUUUUUCAGAGAUUGCUGCUGUGUGAGCUGACACGUUUUAUUUGCAUAAUUAUGCUUGACUACAGCCAUACCCAGGGAAGGGAGUGGUGGUGCUCAAUGUAGGCACACACAUACAAAAGCUGAGAGCAGCUGCCUGCAGAAUAUUGAUAACAGAAUAAUGCUGGUUGGUAGAAGAAGAAACGUCUAGCAGCAAAUCUCUGAAUCUCGUUCACAUGCACUUUGAAAGCCACUGACAUUGGAGGGUUAUGGAAAUGCAAAGUAUUAUUACUCCAUGGCUCUUGUUUUCUUCCUUCUGGGUUGUUCAUUCACACCAAAUGCUGGACUUGCACCAAAGUAUCUACAUCCAGCCAAGAAAUGCAGCGUGAAGACAAGAGUCAUCUUUUCACAUUUUAUUCAUACAUGGAUUGUGAGAGAAAACAUGUUGCAUGGGACCACAUGAGGGAGGAUCAAAGUCACAGCAGCAAAGCCUGAGAUUCAGCGUGGAAAGGCCAGCCACAGCACUGUUUGAACAGCUCAUUUGAAAACCAGCAGUUCUAGGAUGGUCAGAAGCCUCCUUACCCAUCUCUGAGUAGCUAAUCUUGAAUCCUCCAUCACCUUGUUCCAGCACAGACAGCUCCUGGCAGGCUUCCCUCCUUUCUACCUGGUGUGGGAGGCAGGAGCACUUCAGGCCAAGACAGCAUAUUUUCCAGACAUUUUAUAAGUCUGCUCCAGGGAUUCCCAGUUCCUGGUUGCUCUUCUCCCUUUCCUUAGCUCUCCUGUCAAAUCUGCCAGCUGGGAGAUUUGGGAGAGAGCUUUGUUCUGCUCACCCAUAUUUUUUUCUCAUUUCUUCUCCCCAGAUACUCAAGAAAAUGAAAAGUCAAGCUCCUUGCCCUUUUCAGAUGACCACAGCCAAUGCAGACACCAGAUCAGUGGUUCCCAAAAUUUCUGGAUGAAGAACUGGGAUUCCUCCAAGAUAACCAGCCAUUUUUAUCAUUAAACUGUGAGAGCCAUGGUUCUGUGGACCUGUUGGAGGCCACUUGUGUUAACUCUACAACAUGUAGAAAUCUUUGUCUCCACUACCUUAACUGAAGAAGGGAUGAAAUUUAUGCACUAUACAUAUCUUGUAAAACAGACAGCAGGUGACGAGAUGCUGCCUGCUUUGAAGAUAACAAUUGAAAAUCAUAGCUCUUUGUGUCAAGUCAGCGCCCUUCACUUUAACUCCUGGUGACUCUGGUUGAGAUGGCAAAAGGGAAGGAUAAGAGUCUUAUGCUCUGACAGCUGCAUCUGAACAGCCCCAUCCUGGAAGAUGAGGAGGAUGCUGUGUGGUCAGUAUUGAAACUACACAGAAGGAAGUUCAUGUCUCGGGCCUUGGGCUUCGGGUUGCUCUAAAAGCAUAAGCUGUUUGUUUCCCCAGGUAGGAGAAACACCAGAUACUUUUAUGUUUUAUGACAGGAGGCUAUUCUAUACUUUCUUGUGAACACAGAGCUUGACUGAGAGGCAACUUUGAUCAGUUAACGCAGAGGGAGAGAUUUUAAAAAUAGCUGAACAAAGCUGACCCUCUACAUACAAUUUUCAGAAGAAUAAAUUAUUGAUAAUGAGUUAUGAACAUCACUGGCAGGAUUAGCCAUUGAUUACAAGAGAAAAAGCUAUUGAUAUAAGGUUAGUUAACCACAGAAAGCCCAUGCCCCAUUAUGACUUUGCAUUUAAUUUAUCUCAUCUCCAAAAAAAUGCAAUCAAAAUUCUUCCUACUCUUUGGGUGUUUGAUUUCAGCUUUCUUCAAGACUUUUAUGACUAGCAGGUAAAUACUGCAGCUUCCAGGCAGGCUCACACACAUCUGAACUACCAUAAUCCCCAAGGUGGACACUUUUCAAAGAUUAGUAGAAGUUAUCUUCAAAGGGUAAAAAAGGAAAAGUGCUGUCUUGAGGCACUGAACAGCACUUUUGCUGGAGUAGGAUUUUACUACUCCAGAUUGUUUUGAAAAACAACCCUUUAUUUUUUAAAUUCUAGCUAGACUUUACAAAAUAACUCAAAAUGAAGGUCUUACAGUUUUAUUUUUAGUCAUAGUUCAUUCCACAUAAAGCACUUUCGCUGGAGACUUACUAGUGUCAAUUAUUGCACAGAAAUUUUGGCUGGACAUUGUAACAGUUUCCAGUUGCCCUGGAACAGAUCUGAUUCAGUUGAGAGAACAGGGUAAACACUUUCAGUAACACCAGUUCAAGUGGACUGUCUUAUACUUAGUUCUUAUACAAUGUUUGUCACCAUAAGAACUAGGUAAAAAUGUGAGAAGAUAUUCUGGUACCUUGUUACACAGAGUUUAACAGGCGAGAGGUACCUGUGUCUAUUUUCAAAACAGAUCCUGCAGACAACAUAUUGGAUAUUUCUGAAAAUGUUCUCUGAUUUUCACUUGCGCAGACCCUCAGAUCCCACACACAGGCUUCUCACACUAAUGUCUUCCACAAGCUCUGGUGUAGAGGUGAGGUUAUAAAUGCAUGUUGUUAAUUUAGUUGCCGUCUCUGCAGUGCAGCUAAAUCUUUGUCAGAGCCUGAAAUAGGUGAUGUAAGUGAUCACACUGUAUCAAACUGGUUGGGAAAUACAAACUAAAGAUUUCUCAAAUUAAAAAAAAAAAGAAAAAAUAAUUAUUUUGCUUUUUACUUUCCAUUACAAAUUUGUAAUGAUUUGUUAAUGCUGUUUAUUUUAACUGCUGGCUGAGUCCUUCAAAUGGAAAUAUUCUCUGCAAGCCUGGAGUAGUGAGAAAAGCAGCACAAACCUAAAUCCUGACAAUGUCCAGUAGUUUACUUGAUUUAUACAGGCUCUGUGGCAUUUACAGCACGUGCAAGGAAAAGAAGCUUACUGUGUGGUUACCUAAAGCUGCCUUUGACUUACAGUGGAUCUAUAUGAUCAGACCAAAGGUUGUGUAUAACAAGUUACAGUGUAACUGAUAUUGAAACAAGCCAAAGAUUAAUGUUUCAAAAAGAGGAGGAAAUUACAUAGCUGAUUAAGAAAUUUAAUGUCCAUGUAAUUAUGGUUCUUGCCACACUAUGUCCUAAAAAUGUAUCUCCAGCUAUGCUGCUUCUCUGCAAACUUACUCGAGUAAUAUAACUAAAAACUAAAGGAAAGGAAAUACUAAUAGACAAGACUUAGAUGUUCUUUUUAUAAAUUAGGACUGCACAAGAGUUUGCUUUGUCUGGUAAUACAAAUAUACCCGAAAGUGACAAUGUGUGGCUGUCACACUCAUAGGGCAGGUUUGGUUUUCAGUUUCAGUGAAAUGCAUCUCAUGGUUUCUCAUACAAAGUCAAGCCCAGGAGAAUAACAUAUGAUUGCUGUACCUGAUGGCAGUCCUCCAGGGACUCUUAAAAUUAGAUACAUUUUCAAAUGAAGUCAAACAAAGAAAUAAGGCAAUUUGCUGAUAUUCUGCAAUACCUUUCUUGGAAUAAGUGGAACAGAUGCCUCCUUAAGGUCUGAAUUCUAUUAAUUGCUUUAUAAAGCAUGCUUUUCUUUUAAAAAUGCAGUCUCUGCACUGGCCUGCUGACCCUGGAAAUUCAAACCUUAUUAUUCCAGUUUAAACACUUGCCAGUGCUUAAACAGUUAACAAAGCUAAAGCCUCUCCCAGCUGAAUGCUAAAUUCCCCCGGGAAUCCAAUCAGGCUACUUUAUUCUGGUCUUUUUAAAAGUCAGGUCAAAUAGCUGUUUGAAUUGUAAUGAUCUCCAUGUGAAUUCUGGUUUUGAUAGCAAUUACUGAUAUCCUCUUAGCUUCCAGACAGACAAACUAAUUGCAUAUCUUCUGUCAUAUACAGUGCAAUGCUGCUGCUUCUCCUGCUUCUGCUGAUUUUUUACCUGCAUCUGAACAUUUAAUUGGGUAAACAAAAUAAAUAUGGUAACCAUGAGCUGUGCUACUUUGGUGAAACUGAUACCUAGUCUCCUGCUACUGUUAUUAGAAAUGUUAAAACUUAUGACUGGAGAGGUGGUUGAAAGGAGCUGUCUAUAUCCAGAAAACUGCAGUUUGGAAAGACCCAGAAGGAUUUCUUGAGUCAUUUCAGCUGCAGUUUCCCUAAGCACGGUGUGAAGAGCAAUGUCACAGAAGAUCCCAAUAUGUCUAUAGCAAUCCUCAAGAGCUCCAACAGUCUGCAAGGGAAAGCAAAUUGGAUUUCUGCACAUUUUUGUUUUCCAAGUGGGUUGGUCCCCAAUAAUCUCAGUUUAACCAAUAUGUUGGAACUUAGUCCUUUCUGAUCAGAAGACCUCAAAUGAAGCAUCAUACUUCGAACUACUUUUUGUCCACCAUCAGAUAAAAAGGUUAUUUAGAGAGCCAGCACAACAUAAAACCAUCAUUAAUAAUAACUGCUACUUCCCAGCAUCGAGAAGAUAAAAAGAAAUCCAUUAUGCCAUCAUUAUGAUGAGGAAACUUGCCUGAGGUUUCAUAGCAAAGCAGGUUCGGGGGCUAUUCUGAAAUGGCUUAUAUAAAUAGUCAGAGAGAGAAGUUAGAGCAUUAAUGAAUAUCACAGCAAAAGCGUGUGAGAUAGGAUGGAAUAAUGUUCUAAACUAGGACUCGAAAACAUUUCUGUUCCUCUUUGACAUUAGGCAGCAUUUGAAUGUGACUUUGUAUGAAGAUUGUGUAGCUUAAGGCUCAGAUCUGAAUUGAGACAAGGGCCUAAUCCUGUCAAAAUUUCAAAAUCUGUGUUGUCAGAUUUCAUCCCAAAAUAAAAAUGCUAGAGAAAUUGUUGAAUUUGUGAAAACUCUGUCAUCUUGAGAAGCAGAAAGCCUCUUACACUUCGUUCCAUUUUGGUCUGUGUUUAAGUUAGACACUUACAAAAAGCUUAAACUGAAGCUGUAAAUUCAGAGAUUUUUGACCCUGAUUCAGGCAUAUUGUUGUGUGGGGAAACUGUACAGAAAGACCAUUGAAAACCUGGCAUUUUGGAUUAUCUUGCUGAAACAAACUGUGACAGCUGUGAACUGCAUCUGGAUUUUGUCCAAAUUAAACUUUUUUUUUGGCUGGUGUGGAUCAGAACAUUC